GUGAAGAACGCAGCGAAAUGCGAUAAGUAGUGUGAAUUGCAGAAUUCAGUGAAUCAUCGAAUCUUUGAACGCACAUUGCGCCCGUUAGUAUUCUGAAGGGCAUGCCUGUCCGAGCGUCAUUUCAACCCUCAAGCACGGCUUGGUGUUGGCGGAUUGCGUGCCCUAGCGGCGCUGCACCCGCCCAAAUACAGUGGCGGUCCCGCUGCGGCUCCCUUUGCGUAGUAACUCACCUCGCACUGGACCGGGCGGCGGCUCGCCGUAAAACCCCAACUCACGAAAUGUUGACCUCGGAUCAGGUAGGAAUACCCGCUGAACUUAAGCAUAUCAAUAAGCGGAGGA
rnacentral:misc_RNA from 1 species